AUCUAAAGUUUGGAGUGAUUCUAAUCUUGCAUCAUCUGGUAUCAGAGCUUCAAAAGCUCCUACCCCCAAGGUUGUAUCUUUUCAGCCUAUAUUUGUUUUUCUAUUUUUCUUAUUAUUUUUAUUUUAUAUAUAAAAAAAAAUCAAAUAAAUUUUUAUUCCUUGCUUUAAUCUUGUUAUUUGCUUCAGUAUUUUAUCAAAAAAAAAUUGUUUUACUUCAUUUUCUUAUUUAUUUCGGAUUUAUUAAAAGAAAAGCCAUAAAAAUCAUAAUUUUUGUUAUUCAAAAUAUAAUUUUGAAUUGUAUUUUUAUAAAACCAGAAAAGAAAAUAAAAAGUGAAUUUUUUCCCUUUUUGCUAUUUGAAUUUUUCGGAUUUACCAAAAAAAAAAAAAUAUUCAUUUCUAUUUUUUUAAAUAUUUUCCUUAUUUGUUGAUUUACUUUUUGAUACAUCUUUCUUUUGCUUGUGCAAGAUUCUUCUUUCACGAAGACCAGAGCAAAUAUGGAGUUUAUUGAGUUUUACUCAGAUGAAAAACUUCAAGAAGAAGAGCCCUAUCA
rnacentral:lncRNA from 1 species